GUCCACGCCGUAAACGAUGUGUGCUAGUUGUCGGGAUUUAAAAUUUCGGUGACGCAGGGAAACCAUUAAGCACACCGCCUGGGGAGUACGGCCGCAAGGUUAAAACUCAAAGGAAUUGACGGGGACCCGCACAAGCGGUGGAGCAUGUUGUUUAAUUCGAAGCAACGCGAAGAACCUUACCCACACUUAACUAUCCUCUUAGGACAUUCAGAGAUGAUUGUUUUCGGUUCGGCCGGGGAGUGA
rnacentral:rRNA from 1 species